rnacentral:rRNA from 1 species
GCUCAAAUUUGAAAUCUUCAAGGUUUUACCUUGACGAAUUGUAGUUUAAAGAAGUGUUUUCUGUUGAAGUUUUGGUAAAAGUUCUUUGGAAUAGGACAUCAUAGAGGGUGAGAAUCCCGUAUUUGACCAUUAUUUUCAGCUGUGUGAUACACUUUCAAAGAGUCGGAUUGUUUGGGAAUGCAGUCCAAAAUGGGUGGUAAAUUUCAUCUAAAGCUAAAUAUUGGCGAGAGACCGAUAGCGAACAAGUACCGUGAGGGAAAGAUGAAAAGAACUUUGAAAAGAGAGUUAAACAGUACGUGAAAUUGUCAAAAGGGAAGCGUUUGACACCAGUGUUGUUUUCUCGAAAAUCAAUUAAAAAGAGUUGGAUUUUGUGUUGUAUUGACCUUAACAGCUUUCUUCACUCUUUUCCUGCUUUUUUUAAUGCACUUUUCAUUUAACAAG